AUUGAACGCUGGCGGCAGGCCUAACACAUGCAAGUCGAACGAGUGGCGGACGGGUGAGUAAUGUCUGGGAAACUGCCCGAGGGAGGGGGAUAACUACGGGAAACGGUAGCUAAUACCGCAUACCAUCGGAUGUGCCCAGAUGGGCUUGGCUGGUAGGUGGGGGAACGGCUCACCUAGGCGACGAGCCCUAGCUGGUCUGAGAGGAUGCCCGGCCACCUGGGAACGGAGACACGGUCAAUACUCCUACGGGAGGGAGCAGUGGGGAACAUUGGACAAUGGGCGCAAGUCUGAUGCAGCCAUGCCGCGUGUAUGAAGAAGGCCUUCGGGUUGUAAAGUACUUUCAGCGAGGAGGCGGUACUCGCAGAAGAAGCACCGGCUAACUCCGUGCCAGCAGCCGCGGUAAUAC
rnacentral:rRNA from 1 species